UGUGAAGAUUUAUUUUAGAUAAUUUAAGAUUUGAUCUCUAAUUCUAUUACUAAUUAUGUAAAGAUUUGAUCCUUAAUUAUGUAGAUGAAUAAAAAAAAUUUAGAUGCAACUUGGGCCUUUCAAGAAGAAAUAGUUUUUUUUCCUUCACAAGAAAGGUUCUUGAUUUCCUCAAGAAUUAAGAAAAAAAGAUCAAAAGGGUUUAGGAAUUGAUCCCUAUCCAGGUUUGGUUCAAGCUUAUUUAGACUUUCACUUCGAGCAAGCAGGAUCCAAGAGAAAACAA
rnacentral:lncRNA from 1 species